AAUAAGGGCAAAAUUGGAAAAUUGCCAAAAUUGGCUAAAUAAAAAUGGGACUAAAUUGGAAUAUCUAGAAUUCUCUUCAUUUCUCUUCAUAUUCAUCAGCUGAAAAACAGCCAUGGAGGAGGGUUCAAGCUGGUUUUCAUACUCUAGCUUCAUUUCAGUGACAAGAUGAAUUGAAGGAAAAGACCAUGGUUAGACCAUGGAAACAAGUGAUAAGUGAUAGCUUCGGCUACACUUAUCUGAUCAAGGACAAAUGAAAGUGAUAAGUAAUAACUUCGGCUACACUUAUCUGAUUAAGGACAAGUGAAAGUGAUAAGUGAUAGCUUCGGCUACACUUAUCUGAUCAAUGGCAAAUGGCAAAUGACAACUGAAAAGUGGUAGCUUCAGCUACCUGAUCAGUGAAAAGUGGUAGUUUCAGCUACCUGAUCAGUGAAAAGUGGUAGCUUCUGCUACCUAAUCAGUGAAAAGUGGUAGCUUCGGCUACCUGAUCAGUGAAAAGUGGUAGCUUCGGCUACCUGAUCAGUGAAAAGUGGUAGCUCCGGCUACCUGAUCAGUGAAAAAUGGUAGCACCAGCUACCUGAUCAGUGAAUAGUGGUAGCUUUGGCUACAAGUGACAAGUGACAAGUGACAAGUGAUUUCUGUAUAAGACCAUAUCUGGGAUAUGGCAUCGUUGUGAUAUAUGCUACUGUAUAAGACCAUAUCUGGGAUAUGACAUCAGUGAGAUAUGUGAUUACGUGUAAGACCAUAGCUGGGCUAUGGCAUUAUUAUGUAAAGAUGUGUAAGACCAUAGUUGAACUAUAGCAUCGAAAAAAACGAAGUAUUCAAUUCCGUAAGAUGUUCACUAA